rnacentral:rRNA from 1 species
UACGGAAGGCAGCAGUGGGGAAUAUUGCACAAUGGGCGCAAGCCUGAUGCAGCCAUGCCGCGUGUAUGAAGAAGGCCUUCGGGUUGUAAAGUACUUUCAGUCGUGAGGAAGGUGUUAAGGUUAAUAACCUUAGCAAUUGACGUUAGCGACAGAAGAAGCACCGGCUAACUCCGUGCCAGCAGCCGCGGUAAUACGGAGGGUGCGAGCGUUAAUCGGAAUUACUGGGCGUAAAGGGCACGCAGGCGGUUAAUUAAGUUGGAUGUGAAAUCCCCGGGCUUAACCUGGGAAUGGCAUUCAAGACUGGUUAGCUAGAGUCUUGUAGAGGGGGUAGAAUUCCGAUGUGUAGCGGUGAAAUGCGUAGAGAUGUGGAGGAAUACCGGUGGCGAAGGCGGCCCCUGGCAAAGACUGACGCUCAUGUGCGAAAGCGUGGGGAGCGAAACAGGGAUUAGAUACC